UGAGCUCAAAGGUUCAAACUGACAAAAAAAUGAGGAUGGAUGCUCUCUGCUAAAAUAUUCCUUGCCGUCUUUCAUGUUCUUUCAGCAAACAGUUGAGACAGAGUUGUUUUUGGUUUCACCACUAUUUAAUGCUGUUAUACGUACCUGCCAUUGAAAGUAUUCUUAAAAGAUUGUCUAUUAGUCUGCAGCUCAUGUGACCAAACGAGCUGAGGAGAUGAAAAGUUAAAACUUGAGUUAAAAUGUUGUUUUAACUUGAGUUGAGUUAAAAUUCAAAUUAGAAUGUUAAGUUUUAACAUUUUAAUUGAGCAACCUCUACCUAACUACAGGUUGUACACAACCUCUAGUUGAGUAACCCCAAGAUCACUAGAUCUUCUUAAAAGAUAGAGUUUAACAGUUCUUAAAGAUAUAGCCAGUGUUUUCAGCAAAGUUGAGCUGACUGUUCAGGAAUGACACAAGGAAUUUAAAAUUUGCCACAGUUUCAACAAGUCGGCCAUCAAGUGAAACUGGAAUCACUUUCAGAUCUCAUUUAAUUAGCUCUACUUCCGUAAGAAAAUGAAAAGGUAUGUUCUUUUGUGAGGGAAUUUAUCUUUGACUGUUCCAGUAAUGCUAGAAUUAAUAAUAAAGCCUUUGUAGUAUUCUGAUUUAGUAAUGUAAUUAGAUUAGCUGUGUUACCACCCCCACGCCACUAGAGGCAGUAGCAUGGCCGAAAAGAUGCGACUAAGAAGCAGAUUUAAAAGUACACAGAAAGCUACAGAAUUUGUUAAAAACUGUGAGCUGUCCUGAAGUAAAUAAGAGAGAGAAGAGAUAGGAGGAGCUCACGUCUGA